rnacentral:rRNA from 1 species
GCCGUAGCGAAAGCGAGUCUUAAUAGGGCGACUUAAGUCAGAUGCUGCAGACCCCGAAACGAAGUGAUCUAUCCAUGAGCAGGUUGAAGCUGGUGUAAGAGCCAGUGGAGGACCGAACCCGCUGACGUUGAAAAGUCUUGGGAUGACUUGUGGAUAGGGGUGAAAGGCCAAUCAAACUUCGUGAUAGCUGGUUCUCUCCGAAAUAUAUUUAGGUAUAGCCUUGUGUUGUAGCAUAUAGGGGUAGAGCACUGAAUGGGCUAGGGCUGCUUAUUGCGGUACCAAACCCUAUCAAACUAUGAAUACUAUAUGUGGAAUCACAGGAGUCAGGCGGUGGGUGAUAAAAUCCGUCGUCAAGAGGGGAACAACCCAGACUAACAGCUAAGGUCCCUAAGUUACAUCUAAGUGGAAAACGAUGUGGAGUUACUGUGACAACCAGGAGGUUGGCUUAGAAGCAGCCAUCCUUUAAAGAAAGCGUAACAGCUCACUGGUCUAGUGAUCUGCGCGGAAAAUA